UCCCUAGUAGCUCAGAUGGUAAAGCGUCUGCCUGCAGUGUGGGAGACCUGGGUUCGAUCCCUGGGUCGGGAA
rnacentral:tRNA from 1 species